rnacentral:rRNA from 1 species
UACAGAGGUCUCAAGCGUUGUUCGGAUUCAUUGGGCGUAAAGGGUGCGUAGGUGGCGUCGUAAGUCAGGUGUGAAAUCUCGGAGCUUAACUCCGAAACUGCAUUCGAUACUGCCGUGCUUGAGGACUGGAGAGGAGACUGGAAUUUACGGUGUAGCGGUGAAAUGCGUAGAUAUCGUAAGGAAGACCAGUGGCGAAGGCGGGUCUCUGGACAGUUCCUGACGCUGAGGCACGAAGGUCAGGGGAGCAAACGGG